GGGUCUCUGUGACCAGGAUUUGUUAAUCAAUAGGAUCCUGUAAGGACACGGAGUCCCAGGUCCCAGGACAGCGAGGCCGGGGAGGCUGGGCCGCAGCAGGUCGGCGGGGCGCCAAGGCGAGCUUUGGCACCAGGAAGAGGCAGGGACCCCAGGAAGCACCCACAGCUGCCCUGGCCCCCAGGUAGCGGCAGGUGCAUCCCCGGGAAGUCGGGGCACCCAGCCCGGGAGACAGUGCUGCAGCCACACGGUACUCAGCACAGCGGGCCGAACACUGGGUCAACACACAUCAGAUCCACGUACAUCAAGAAUACCGAUGGCAAUGCAGCUGCUUUUCUAAGUGAAAAAUAAAGGAGCGCGUGACAAGGACUUUUGUCCUCAUCAGCCCGAGGUCUGUGUCUGGCCAGCAACAUGAGACAGAGGAAUCACCCGCGUGUGCAGAUGAAGACAGCAAGGCUUACGGACGCGAUAAAAAUCAGGCGGUUAAUGGGUGAUGACACUGGUAACGUGUUUUACUCUCAACCAUGAAAUCAAGUGUCUCCACACUGUGUUCCCCGGCGCCUGAAGAGGAGAGAAUGCCGUGGCCAAAAGGGAUUGGGAAAUGUCGAAUACCGGAUUCACUUUUGGAGAUUCACCACGCACAUCAGCACGCUCUGAGGUUCGAGGGAGGGGUACUGCAGGGCGAGA